UACGUAGGGUGCAAGCGUUAAUCGGAAUUACUGGGCGUAAAGCGUGCGCAGGCGGUUUUGUAAGUCUGUCGUGAAAGCCCCGGGCUUAACCUGGGAAUUGCGAUGGAGACUGCAAGGCUUGAAUCUGGCAGAGGGGGGGUAGAAUUCCACGUGUAGCAGUGAAAUGCGUAGAGAUGUGGAGGAACACCGAUGGCGAAGGCAGCCCCCUGGGUCAAGAUUGACGCUCAUGCACGAAAGCGUGGGGAGCAAACAGG
rnacentral:rRNA from 1 species